GACGAACGCUGGCGGCGUGCUUAACACAUGCAAGUCGAACGGUAAUGCCCUGCUUGCAGUGUCCUCGAGUUGCGUACGGGUGAGUAACACGUGGGUGAUCUUCCCUGCACUUCUCGAUAAGCCUGGCAAACUGGGUCUAAUACCUGAUAUCCUCCAUUUUUAGUGUGAUGUUUGGAGAGUUUUUUCGGUGUAGGAUGAGAUCGCGGCCUAUCAGCUUGUUGGUGGGGUAAUGGCCUACCAAGGCGGCGACGGGUAGCCGGCCUGGGGGGGUGGACGGCCACAUUGGGACUGGGAUACGGCCCAGACGCCUACGGGAAGCAGGAGAGGGGAAUAAAGGAAAGUGGGUGCAAGCCUGAUGCAGCGAGGCCGCGUGGGGGAUGAUGGGAUUCGGGUUGUAAACUCCAUUCGCGAGGGACGAAGCAGUUUGUGAAGGUAACUAGAGAAGAAGCACCGGCUAACUACGUG
rnacentral:rRNA from 1 species